rnacentral:rRNA from 1 species
AUGAACGCUGACAGAAUGCUUCACACAUGCAAGUCGAUGGGGAAGUGGUGCUUGCACCCUGGCAACCAUGGCGGACGGGUGAGUAACGCGUAAGGGACUUACCUGCAGGACUGGGAUAACAGGGGGAAACUCCUGACAAGACCGGAUAAUGUCAUGGAGCUGCAUGGCUUUAUGAUGAAAGGAGACGCCUGCGGAGAGCCUUGCGUCCUAUUAGCUAGUUGGUGAGGUAAUGGCUCACCAAGGCGAAGAUAGGUAGCCGGCCUGAGAGGGUGGACGGCCACAAGGGGACUGAGAUACGGCCCUUACUCCUACGGGAGGCAGCAGUGGGGAAUAUUGGACAAUGGGGGCAACCCUGAUCCAGCAAUUCUGUGUGCACGAAGAAGGUUUUCGGAUUGUAAAGUGCUUUCAGCAGGGAAGAAGUAAGUGACGGUACCUGCAGAAGAAGCGACGGCUAAAUACGUG